AUUGAACGCUGGCGGCAGGCCUAACACAUGCAAGUCGAACGAGUGGCGGACGGGUGAGUAAUGUCUGGGAAACUGCCUGAUGGAGGGGGAUAACUACUGGAAACGGUAGCUAAUACCGCAUACCAUCGGAUGUGCCCAGAUGGGAAUAGCUAGUAGGUGGGGUAAAGGAUCACCUAGGCGACGAUCCCUAGCUGGUCUGAGGGGAGGACCAGCCCCACUAGACCUAAGACACUGUCCGACAUCCUACGGGAGGCAGCCGUGGGGAAUAUUGCACAAUGGGCGCAAGCCUGAUGCAUCCAUGCCGCGUGUAUGAAGAAGGCCUUCGGGUUGUAAAGUACUUUCAGCGGGGAGGCGUUACCCGCAGAAGAAGCACCGGCUAACUCCGUGCCAGCAGCCGCGGUAAUUC
rnacentral:rRNA from 1 species